rfam:Zea mays cultivar B73 chromosome 9, whole genome shotgun sequence.
GUUAUAUCUGAUGAUGAACUGGUGUCCUACAUCUUGUCUGGUCUUGAUGAAGAUUAUGAUCUGGUGGUCUUAACAGUUCUGGCUCGUGUGGAACCAAUUACACCUGGUGGCAUGUAUGCACAACUUCUCAGUUAGGAAUC